rnacentral:lncRNA from 1 species
CUGUCCCCAGCCACAGGCGGGCGGAGGCGGAGCUGGAAAUAGACCUGCUGUGACCCCGGCGCAGCCACACAGUGCGGGCCGCUGGGCCCACACAAAGCCGCCUUGUGUGUUCUGAGUCUGUCACAGGCACCCUCCGGCCCAGCUGUGGGCCUCGCCCUGACCCCGUCCCUGCUGGCUAGCGGAAUGGGCAGGACCGCAGGGAUCCUGUCAUCUGUCACCCAGCAGCCUCCGCCUCUCCUCCCAGGAAGCCACUGAUGAGGCACCCAGGACAAAAACUGCCCUGUGUCCACCUCCUUGGAGGAACGGGACCUGGCCAGGCGGGUCACCAGGCCACGCCCAGAGGCUGAGGCCCUGCCGACCUGGCCCAGCACCUUGAGGAGUGGACAGCCUGGUCCUGCAGACCUGGCCACAGCCGCCACAAGCCUCCCUUGGAGUCUGUGCUCCUCCGUGCUCUUCAGCACCUCACAGGCGGAGCCUUGGGGUCCAGCACCCUCACUGUGCCCUCUGGGGACUGCCAGGGAGAAGAGGAAGCCACCGAGAAAGGGACAGGACAUGUGCACCGUGAUGCCUCUCCUGUGCAGCCCUGGCAGGAGCUGCGAGCAGCAGCUGGGCAGAGCCUCGGGGCUGUGGGUCCAGAGGACGUGCAGGCGCCUCUGCUGGGUCUGGGUCCCAGGCUAGCCCAGCCCUUCUCUGCUGAUACCUCAAGCAUAGGAGCCUGGGAAAUGUUUAAUUUCCCUGAAGAUGUGCUGGCUGACGUAGGCUCUCACAUGGAGCCAUGCCAGGGUUUUCUCUGUAGUUCUUACCACUUGGAACCCACAGACAGCUGUGUUUCCACCUGGGGGCCAGAGCUCCACCCGCAGCCCGCUCCCCCGCUGGCCCGCUCAGGACGACACCAGGCAGCCUCGGGAACCACCCUGCCUGGAGCGGCUACGGGACGGCCUCCUCUGACACACUGGGUAGCAGUCAGGCCUGGGCUCCUGUGUCCCUCAGAUCCAUCCCUGCAGAUCCCUGGGAUUAAAUGUUUUCC